CGCCGGCUUGGACGUGCGGCGGCCCGCCGGGAUGGAUCCCCGGCGGGCCGCACGCGGUGGACCGUGCCGGUCCGGAUCAGCCGUCGGCGUCC
rnacentral:tRNA from 1 species